rnacentral:rRNA from 1 species
GAACGCUGGCGGCACUGCCUAACACAUGCAAGUCGAACGAGACUUCGGUCUAGAGGCGGACGGGUGAGUACGCGUAGGAACCUGCCAAGUAGUGGGGAAUAACAGUUGGAAACGACUGCUAAUACCGCAUACGCCCUUCGGGGGAAAGAUUUAUCGCUAUUUGAGGGUCCUGCGUUCGAUUAGCUUGUUGGCGGGGUAACGGCCCACCAAGGCGACGAUCGAUAGCUGGUCUGAGAGGAUGAUCAGCCACACUGGGACUGAGACACGGCCCAGACUCCUACGGGAGGCAGCAGUGGGGAAUAUUGGACAAUGGGGGAAACCCUGAUCCAGCAAUGCCGCGUGCGUGAAGAAGGCCUUAGGGUUGUAAAGCGCUUUCACCUGCGAUGAUGAUGACAGUAGCAGGAGAAGAAGCCCCGGCUAACUCCGUGCCAGCAGCCGCGGUAAUACGGAGGGGGCUAGCGUUGUUCGGAAUCACUGGGCGUAAAGGGCGUGUAGGCGGCGGAUUUAGUUAGGCGUGAAAGCCCCGGGCUCAACCUGGGAACUGCGCUUAAUACUGAUUUGCUAGAGUCCGGGAGAGGCUGGUGGAAUAUCCAGUGUUAGAGGUGAAAUUCGUAGAUAUUGGAUGGAACACCGAUGGCGAA